rnacentral:rRNA from 1 species
GCUAGUCGUACGAGUUCAUACUCGUGGCGAAUAGCUCAGUAACACGUGGCCAAACUACCCUUCGGAGCACGAUACCCUCGGGAAACUGAGGCUAAUAGUGCAUACCACAAUCCAGCUGGAAUGAGGAUUGUGCCAAACGCUCCGGCGCCGAAGGAUGUGGCUGCGGCCGAUUAGGUAGACGGUGGGGUAACGGCCCACCGUGCCAAUAAUCGGUACGGGUCAUGAGAGUGAGAACCCGGAGACGGAAUCUGAGACAAGAUUCCGGGCCCUACGGGGCGCAGCAGGCGCGAAACCUUUACACUGCACGCCAGUGCGAUAAGGGAGUCCCAAGUGCGCAGGCAUAGAGCCUGCGCUUUUGUACACCGUAGGGAGGUGUACGAAUAAGGGCUGGGCAAGACCGGUGCCAGCCGCCGCGGUAAUACCGGCAGCCCGAGUGAUGGCCGAUCUUAUUGGGCCUAAAGCGUCCGUAGCUGGCCGCACAAGUCCAUCGGAAAAUCCACCCGCUCAACGGGUGGGCGUCCGGUGGAAACUGUGUGGCUU